rnacentral:rRNA from 1 species
CUACGGGAGGCAGCAGUGGGGAAUUUUGCGCAAUGGGCGAAAGCCUGACGCAGCAACGCCGCGUGGGGGAUGAAGGCCUUCGGGUCGUAAACCUCUUUCAGCAGGGACGAACCAAGACUGUACCUGCAGAAGAAGCCCCGGCUAACUACGUGCCAGCAGCCGCGGUAAUACGUAGGGGGCAAGCGUUAUCCGGAUUUAUUGGGCGUAAAGAGCGCGUAGGCGGCUUGUUAAGUCAGAUGUGAAAACCGGGGGCUCAACCCGCGGCCUGCAUCUGAAACUGGCAGGCUUGAGUCUGGUAGAGGAAAGUGGAAUUCCCAGUGUAGCGGUGAAAUGCGCAGAUAUUGGGAGGAACACCAGUGGCGAAGGCGGCUUUCUGGGCCACGACUGACGCUGAGGCGCGAAAGCUAGGGGAGCAAACAGGCUUAGAUACCCCGGUAGA